AGGCUCGUCUCUGUGUGUUUAUCCGGGUAGGCUCCGAAGACGGAGGGAUAAACUGAAGCAUCACCCAACUAAUGAGUGUCUGAGGCUACAUUUGAACUCAGGUCUUCCUGACUCCAAGCCCAGCUCUUUAUCCUCUGGGCCACCUAGGCAAAGCUUGUUGAAUGGAAUUGAUCUCAUUUGAAUGAUUAAUGCAUCAUCACGCUGACAGACCUUUGGAAAAGUAGGCUUCCCCAGGACACCCAAAUCCAGCUGCAAGCGGGAAGUACACUGCUCUGCUGAGAAGAGGCCUGGGACAGCGGAAAGUCUCUGGACCAGACUGCAGGCAAGGCAGGGAAAAGGAGACUCCUGCUUCUACGCUUCCUAGCUGGGUGUCCAUGGACAAAUGCCUUCAUUUCUCCAACCCUCACUUUCCUCAAAUGUAAAAUGGAGAUAAAAAUUCCUGUCCUUCAGAGCAGAAGUGUUAGGGAGCUCAAGAUGGACCUGAUUCAAAACACUAUGUAAAUUCCCCUUAUUAUAACAUUAGAAUGAGAAGGAAAUAUAAAGCAUCAGAGAAGAGAACUAGAAAGGCCUUUAGAAGAUAGAAUUUCAGAGCCAGAAGGGACCUUAGAACACAGAACUUGGAAAGUUUGAGCAGGGAAGGACUUUAGAAUAUAUAACCUAGAAUAUAAUAGCUGGAAAGGAACAGAACUUUGGAACCUAAAAUGUCAGAGCUGGAAGAGACUUUAUGGUAGAAGCAGAUAGAAUAAUGGGCCUGUAGACCUGAGUUCAAAUCCAGCCUCAGACAAUUACUAGCUGUGGCAAAUCACUUACCUCCUCUCAGCCGCUUUCCUCCUUCGUAAAAUGGGGAUAAUAAUAGCAACUACCUCCCAGGAUAAAAUGAAAUAAUAUUUACA